AGUUUAUAAGAAUGGUGGAACAUGUGGUUUAAUUCGACAAUCCACGAAAAAUCUUACCAAUAUAUAUAUAUAUUUUUUUUUAAUAAUAACUAUUUAAAAAAAAAAAAUAUAACGGAAUUGCAUGGCUGUCGUCAGUUCGUGUUGUGAAAUGUAGAGUUAAUUCUUUUAAUAUUACGAACGUAAGCUAUUUAUAAAAACAUACAAUAUGUUUUAUAAACUAGUCGAAGUCAAGUCAACAUGGUCUAAAUAUAUUGGGCUACACACGUGUUACAAAGAUAAACACAAAAAGUUACAAAAAUGUAAAUUGGAGUAAAUCUUUAAAAAUUAUCUUAGUUCAGAUUAUUUUUUGAAACUCAAAAAUAUGAAGACGGAAUCAUUAGUAAUUAUAUUUAAUUAUAGUAUAGUGAAUGUAUUUAAAUUUUGCACACACUGCCCAUCACGCUUGGAAAAUGUUUCGAUAUAAAAAUUAAUAUAAUUAAAGAUUACAUAAGUUUUCCAGUUAAUUAUUUGUAUUAAUUAAAUAUAUUGUCAUGUAAUUU
rnacentral:rRNA from 1 species